rnacentral:rRNA from 1 species
UACGUAGGCUUAAAUAUCCUGAAGGCACCAGAUCAUGUCCGAUCUUGGAAGCUAAGUAGGGUCAACUCUGGCUAGUACUUGUUUGAGGGACUGCCAAAGAAUACCAGGUGCUUUAGGCU